GACAGAGGUGCCGAGCGUUAGGCGGAAUUACUGGGCGUAAAGCGUGCGCAGGCGGUUCGUUGUGUCGGCGGUGAAAUCCCCGGGCUCAACCUGGGAAUGGCCGUUGAAACUGGCGAACUGGAGUGUGGCAGAGGGGGGUGGAAUUCCGCGUGUAGCAGUGAAAUGCGUAGAGAUGCGGAGGAACACCGAUGGCGAAGGCAGCCCCCUGGGCUAGCACUGACGCUCAGGCACGAAAGCGUGGGGAGCAAACAGG
rnacentral:rRNA from 1 species